UGCAUACAGCAACUCACAAGCAUUCAAUAAAGUCUAAACACUAAAUACAUUGUUAUAAUUCUAAUACCUGUUCUAACAAUACUAACACAGAUGUAAAAAAGACUGAGUC